ensembl:lncRNA
CCCCCCCCGGCCAUUUAAAAGCUAACCUGUUCCCGGAUUUGUCUGGGGAAAAUCCCACCUUUUCUCUCAUUGCAUGAUCCUGCUCUCUCUUUGCUUAACUGUAGUCAACUUUUCUGGCUUCCCGGACGCCAGUAUUCAACAGCAAAAAUAAUCACCUGCCUCUUUUUACGCUCUGUAGCUUGACUGUCCUGUGAAAUAAGUUGCGAAAGUCAAAAUUAACAGGACUCCCUAUGUCUGUAACAAUAUCUUCUCCUUAACUCUCUGUGCCCUCGCACACUGUCCUCACUUUUGUUGACUUCCACUUCUGGGCUGACUCCAAAUCCCUGUCUUCUACUCUAUCUAAAAAAUUAUUUGCAUAUAUCAAUAUUACCUUGGUUUAAAUCCUGUCCUGUUUUUUCUUUCUCAGGUCAGUUACUCCUGCUUUCUAGUGUUAUCUCUGAUUUCUCCAGAAGUGGAAUUUAUCCUGCUACUUACAGAUGAAUAGCAGUGCUUCCAUUAAGCUGAUGCAGUCUGGCGCAAGAUCUGCAGAAGUGAGUCCUCUCUGGAGACUGCAGUGCUACUCAUCACUUGCUGGAAGGUGUUUCUGCACCACAUUCAUCCUAAAGGACUGGAGCUCGGACUUGACACUGAAACUUGUUCAAUUUUUUUUUUUUUGGUGUCUUAUUUCGAUAAAGGUUGACCACUGAGAUAGUCCAGGUUUCUAUCUGAAGCAACAAAAGGGCAGCCAUACCGCUCUGUGAGCAGGCUCUCUGAUGUUGUCAGGGGCUUUAUCUGUAAUGCAGGGUAUGUAGAUGCAUCUGGGCUAGGUCUAAAUGGGUUCAGCUGCCUGUGCAACCACAGAGCCCAGUGAAGAACAGGAGCUCACCAGCCUCCCCAGCUGAAAAUGCUCUAUGCUGCUGCAGUUUCGGUGCUAACAGUAAGCAAGUCCAUUGUGAUCUUAAGAUCCUAGUCUUGCUAUUGCUGCUUAAUUGUUCUGUCCUUCACUUCAGCUGGGAAUGCUGACUGAGUUAAAACAAUGCCAGGAUGAUGGGUUUCGAUACAAAAUUAUUCCUCGUAACAGGAACUAGCAACACAGGUCUCCAUGCAAGGAUUUUUCUGCAGUGCCAUGAGUGAGUGUCUUAAGCUUCAGAUCACCCCAGCUCACCACUUCCGGAGCUGUCAGAUCUGGGCCCCGCAGUGUAGGAUCUGGCAUGAUCAGUGGCUAGAAUUCACACCCAGAUGCUUAGCUGAUGUUUACCAAAGACUGGAGCAGUUUAUAAUUGAUAAGAAAUUCACAUAACUACAGGUGUGAAGAAAAGAAUGAGCAAAUGAUACAAUUUACGCUUCCACGUGUGCAUGCAGUCUUCAUGGCAGAACAAUUCCUCUGAAGCGUCUCAGAUUGCCCAUUGCUAGAGACAGGCCUCACUGGAGCAAUUAUGUUAGUCAUAAUGACAGAUACUCCAAUGCCCUCAAUUUAAAUCCUUUUCAUAGUGCUGAAUUACAGCUUGACAGCAGAGAUCUCAUGACACACUCCUGUUUCUGAUUCUCCACCUGCCUCGUGACAACUGUAUUGCUUGGUUACAUGAAAAAAACAACAUCAUUGCCUAACAGGAAGACAAAAUGACAGUAAACUUACUUUUAUGCAUUCUUUGGAUUCUUUGCCAACUCCCAUUUGUUUUCUGUAUUUUUUAUUUCUUCUUCUUACAGGAUUUUACAUUUUUUGGGACUGCAUCUUCUCAUUGCUUGCAAUUCCCCACUGCUCUGAUGUGAUCACUUUCUGGUUUGAAAUUUAUAUCUGUUUGCUGCUAGAUGUUAAAAUCCAAUGACAUCCUUAGCAUUUUAUGAGAAUACAAUCUGCACCAGUGAAACACCUCCCUAACACCCAAAGUAAGUUUAAGGUAGUUGUCUAAGGUAUGGCAGGAUGCUUGCUUAUUUUAGUUUUGUUGACAAAAAAAGAAAAAAUCUAGGAAGUUUCCGCCUUGGGAAUUGAGUUCUUAUUAUCUGGUAACAGGAAUGCAUGGAGACUCUCUUUUUUACCACAGUGAGACAAAAUACCUGGAGCCUGAGCACCUAGAACUAGGAUAGGAAGGAUGUACCACACUGUUCUGAAGACUGGAGAUACUGAACAUAGUUUAUAUUUUGACAAUGAAAUCACAGGUUAACAUAAGUACUUUAUCAUAUACCCAAGGUGUGCCAUUUUCCCAUGGCAUAUUGUAGCUUCGUGUCAACUGGUUGUCUAUGAAGAAGUUGUAUGAAUCACCUUCUGGCUGUGUCUGUCUUUGUUCUUUCAGUACAGAGAAAGCACAGGUUAUGAGCUUAUACCAUCUAUAGACUAUAUCUAAGGUUAGGUAAAAUGCAUUCUGCCCUCAGAAUAGUCAAAUAUCAGAAAAGAUUUCAAAUGUUCCCUUCUUUCUUCCUCCAAAGCAUUACUAAAAAUCUAGGUAGUAAUUCUUGUGGAAUUAUUUGGUAUAAUAAACAUUCAUACUUGAAAGCA